GAUGAACGCCGGCGGCGUGCCUAAUACAUGCAAGUCGAGCGAACGGACGAGAAGCUUGCUUUUCUGAUGUUAGCGGCGGACGGGUGAGUAACACGUGGAUAACCUACCUAUAAGACUGGGAUAACUUCGGGAAACCGGAGCUAAUACCGGAUAAUAUUUUGAACCGCAUGGUUCAAAAGUGAAAGACGGUCUUGCUGUCACUUAUAGAUGGAUCCGCGCUGCAUUAGCUAGUUGGUAAGGUAACGGCUUACCAAGGCAACGAUGCAUAGCCGACCUGAGAGGGUGAUCGGUCACACUGGAACUGAGACACGGUCCAGACUCCUACGGGAGGCAGCAGUAGGGAAUCUUCCGCAAUGGGCGAAAGCCUGACGGAGCAACGCCGCGUGAGUGAUGAAGGUCUUCGGAUCGUAAAACUCUGUUAUUAGGGAAGAACAUAUGUGUAAGUAACUGUGCACAUCUUGACGGUACCUAAUCAGAAAGCCACGGCUAACUACGUG
rnacentral:rRNA from 1 species